GUGAUUCUAUAAACUUCCCUAAAUGUCUUCAUCAACCAUGUGAAUUACCUGUUUCUGGAGGUUGAUUUCUACUUUUUUAGUUUUCUUACUCAUGUGGUCGGUUUUUCAGUUUUGAUCUCAUUCUAAAAUAGAUACAUGGUAACUGGUCAGAUAUAUUUUUAUAUAGCACAGGAUUCUUGACAGACAUGUCAAACUGAACUGAUAUUUUGCCCAUUUUAAGUGCCUACAGACAUAGUGAAAUGGCCCUGUUCAUCUUCAUAAUAUUUUAUCUUUUACUGGUGGUUAAAUUGCAAGGUUUGGCAACCAUGUCGUCUUUGCCACCAAUCACAGAGGGCAGCCCAACUACAGUGAUUCCCAAUGGAACCUUACAAGUGAAUUUGUCCACUGCAUCAACAAUGAACACAACAUUUUUGGGUGUAACAUCCACUACUGAGUCUGAAAUCACAACAGACCUGAUAACCAAUAUGUCAAGUCUAAGUUCCCAAGACAACCAUAGUUUAAAAGAUCCUGCAAACGCAUCCUUAGAAUCGACUACACUUACUGAUAAUACAGAACGUGCUUCAGUUUUCCCCUUGAUGACUAAAGGCCCUGAAAUCAGAAAGUACUCAAAUACAAAAAUGUUCUUCCUCAUUGCUGUGGUUGCAUCUGGUGGAGGAAUUGUACUGACUGGACUCGUGGGCACCUGUUUGUACAGAUAUACACGAAAGUCAAAGGCAGAGAGGAUUUGGAUCGAAUCGAGCAGCAAAAAACACAAACAGGGACAUUCUUUACCAGUGGCCAGUUCAGACUCAUCUGGAGAGGAAGAUACAGUGCUUUACUCAACCAUCAACUUCAUUCAACCCCCCUCUCAACCACCAGGAAACAAUGAAGAAUCAAUUCAAAAUGAGGUUGAACUGAAUCAUUUGUAUUACACCGUCAUAACCAAACCGGCAAUCUCCAGUGACAGCAGGAGUGUUUACGCAGUCUUCUCAUUAACACAAGUUGUACCACUACUCUUUGCAUUAUGGUAUGGUACACUGAGUUAUGCUGCUCAUCCUCCUCAUCUUUACACUCUUUCUGGAGGUUCAACCUCAGUAAGUGACUACUUAAAUUUAAAAAAAUAAAAUGUUAUAUUUCAUAUUAAGUGUCUGUUCUCCUCUGCUCUAGGAUAGUAUGCACAUUUUUGUCUUCAACAUUUUUGUCAUAAUUGUUGAUUUUAGGUACUACCAAUUAUGGUCACACUUUAUAACAAGUAUACAGUAAUUAAGUACUAACAAGUCAUUUGUAAACUAUUAGUUUAUAGUUAAUUAAAAGUUUAUAAACUGUAUUUAAUACAUUAAUAGACGCUAUACAAAUAGUGAGUUCUUCAUUCAUUAUCACCGUAAUUAACCAAAUUAUUAUCGCUUAAUUAUCUCAUAUGUAAACUAAUUAACUGUUCUCACUUUCACUUAGGUCAUGGAAAAUGGGAAAAUGUUAAGCAUUAUGUAACGCUUUAGAUAUGAGCUAAUUAAAUAAUAUUAAUUGUGUUAACUACAGUGACAAUGAAUGAAGAACUCACUAUUUGUAUUGUGGCAGUAUGAAAAAACGUAAACUUGUAUCUCAAAAACACACACUUUUUUGUCACACAGUACAGACUGUUUGGUAUUUGUAUUAUCUACAACUAUAAUCAAGUGUUUAAUAAUGUUUAACAUGAUCUAAGAAUUCUAUAUUUAAUUGUUUUCUUUCCUUUUGUUUUUUUUUUUUUGUCUCUAUUAUAAUGUUAACUAUGAUCUAAGAAUUCUNUAUUUAAUGUUUCUUCCUUGUUUUUUUUUUUUUGCUCAUUACUACCUUCUACACAUUGUAUCUCAAGGAGUGUUAAAUCUGCUGAGGUUUACAUGCAUCAGUGAAACUGCUACCUUAGAGGCACCUUCCAUGUUUCUUCAAGUUUAUUCCUUGUCAAUGUUGGACUACAAAAUCGGUGGAAAGACUAUAUUGGAACUUAACCACAAAGCUGGUUUUGUUUCUUUGUUUUUUUUUCUACCAUUUUUUGAACUUGGUGGAUUGUUAAAAAUAUGAAUGUAAACCAAAGUACUAAGUUUUCUGUUUGAUUCCAUAUUGAUUGCUGAAAAUAUCUCUGUGAAACUGAGGUUGCAUUUGAACUUGAAACAGAAUGGAAAGUUUUUCUCUGUAUUUUUAUUGUUUUCUUAAAUACAGCUUUGAAACUAUGAACCUGAACUUAUUUUGUGUGGACAUUUCAUUCAAAUUAAUUUUGUA
rnacentral:lncRNA from 1 species